rnacentral:rRNA from 1 species
UACGGAGGGUGCAAGCGUUAUCCGGAUUCACUGGGUUUAAAGGGUGCGUAGGUGGUCUGUUAAGUCAGCGGUGAAAGCCUGGAGCUCAACUCCAGAAUUGCCAUUGAUACUGACGGACUUGAAUCAAGUUGAGGUGGAUGGAAUAUUACAUGUAGCGGUGAAAUGCUUAGAUAUGUAAUAGAACACCAAUUGCGAAGGCAGUUCACUAAGCUUGUAUUGACACUGAGGCACGAAAGCGUGGGGAU